rnacentral:rRNA from 1 species
GACGAACGCUGGCGGCGUGCCUAAUACAUGCAAGUCGAACGCAGUGGGGACGGGUGAGUAACAUGUGGGUAACCUCCCAUCAGAGGGGAUAACACUUGGAAACAGGUACUAAACCGAUACUGAUGGAUGGAGCCGCGGUGCAUUAGCUAGUUGGUGAGGUAACGGCUGACCAAGGCCACGAGGCAGAGCCGACCUGAUAGGGUGAUCGGCCACACUGGGACUGAGACACGGCCCAGACUCCUACGCGAGGCAGCAGUAGGGAAUCUUCGGCAAUGGACGAAAGCCUGACCGAGCAACGCCGCGUGAGUGAAGAAGGUUUUCGGAUCGUAAACCUCUGUUGUUAGAGAAGCGGUAUCUAACCAGAAAGCCACGGCUAACUACGUGCCAGCAGCCGCGGUAAUAC